GGCCCCAUUAAAAAUAACACUAUAAAAUCAUAUAGUGGCCUUACCGGCUUUCUUUGGUAACUUUCCCUUAUGACAUCACACAUGUGACAUCAUCAAGUGUUUGGAGCUAUCUCUACCAGCCACUAGUACAGUUCAGGCAUUAGCGAUCAGAGGGAGCGCAGACAAAGAGCAGAAGAUGAGGAAGAGGAUAAGAUGACACAGGAGAGGUGACUGAUGCCAAGUGAGAGGUUGAACCUGACAUAUACCCCCAUCAACUGCAAUUAAGGAACUACAAGACAGGUGACUGAUGCCCAGUGAGAAGGUGAGCCUGACAUAUAACCCCGUCAGCUGCAAUAAAGGAACCACGAGACAGGUAAUUAAU